rnacentral:lncRNA from 1 species
AAUGCACCUCUGAAGAUCUCGGCAAACCAAUGGACAAGUGGCCAUAAUGUUGUUUCUCGUUUUGUGCUCGUUACUUUUGCUGAAUGUAAAAAUUCUGUAAACGUCCAACCAUUCCAAAAUGCACUUCUGAAGAUCUCAGCAAACCAGUGGACCAGUGGCUAUAAUGUUGCUUUCUCAUUUUGUGAUUGUUACUUUUGCUGAAUGAAAUUUUGAAGAAAAUUUAGACAUUGCACCUCUGCAGCAAGUGGACCAGACCUGCUUGGCUGAAUGGCGACUUUUGCUUCCUCUACUUCCUCUACUGAUUGAUUGUAGCAACUGGUGAUUAGGCAAUUGAAGCUUUCAAUUAAAAAU